UACCAGCACCCCGAGUGGUCGGGACGAUUAUUGGGCCUAAAGCAUCCGUAGCCGGUUCUACAAGUCUUCCGUUAAAUCCACCUGCUUAACAGAUGGGCUGCAGAGGAUACUAUAGAGCUAGGAGGCGGGAGAGGCAAGCGGUACUUAGUGGGUAGGGGUAAAAUCCGUUGAUCCAUUGAAGACCACCAGUGGCGAAGGCGGCUUGCCAGAACGCACUCGACGGUGAGGGAUGAAAGCUGGGGGAGCAAACCGG
rnacentral:rRNA from 1 species